rnacentral:rRNA from 1 species
UACGUAGGGGGCAAGCGUUGUCCGGAAUUAUUGGGCGUAAAGCGCGCGCAGGCGGUCCUUUAAGUCUGAUGUGAAAGCCCCCGGCUCAACUGGGGAGGGUCACGCGAUACUGAUCGACUCGAAGGCAGGAGAGGGAAGUGGAAUUCCCGGUGUAGUGGUGAAAUGCGUAGAUAUCGGGAGGAACACCAGUGGCGAAGGCGACUUCCUGGCCUGUUCUUGACGCUGAGGCGCGAAAGCUAGGGGAGCAAACGGG